rnacentral:rRNA from 1 species
UACGAAGGGGGCUAGCGUUGCUCGGAAUUACUGGGCGUAAAGCGCACGUAGGCGGAUCUUUAAGUCAGGGGUGAAAUCCUGGAGCUCAACUCCAGAACUGCCUUUGAUACUGGCGAGCUUGAGUUCGGGAGAGGUGAGUGGAACUGCGAGUGUAGAGGUGAAAUUCGUAGAUAUUCGCAAGAACACCAGUGGCGAAGGCGGCUCACUGGCCCGAUACUGACGCUGAGGUGCGAAAGCGUGGGGAGCAAACAGG